CGGGUUUCGUUAGCAGCGGGCU
rnacentral:miRNA from 2 species